AUUGAACGCUGGCGGCAGGCCUAACACAUGCAAGUCGAACGAGUGGCGGACGGGUGAGUAAUGUCUGGGAACCUGCCCUUAAGUCUGUGAUACCAUUUGGAAAUAGCUGCUAAUACCGAACACCAAAGGAUGGACCUGUGAGGCAUUAGCUAGUUGGUAGGGUAACGGCUUACCAAGGCGAUGAUGCAUAGCCGGGUUGAGAGAAUGACCAGCCACACUGGAACUGAGACACGGUCCAGACUCCUACGGGAGGCAGCAGUGGGGAAUAUUGCACAAUGGGCGCAAGCCUGAUGCAGCCAUGCCGCGUGUAUGAAGAAGGCCUUCGGGUUGUAAAGUACUUUCAGCGAGGAGGCGUUACUCGCAGAAGAAGCACCGGCUAACUCCGUGCCAGCCGCCGCGGUAAUUC
rnacentral:rRNA from 1 species